UACAGAGGUCUCAAGCGUUGUUCGGAUUCAUUGGGCGUAAAGGGUGCGUAGGUGGCGGGGUAAGUCAGGUGUGAAAUCUCGAGGCUCAACCUCGAAACUGCACUUGAUACUGCCUUGCUGGAGUACUGGAGAGGAGAUUGGAAUUUACGGUGUAGCAGUGAAAUGCGUAGAUAUCGUAAGGAAGACCAGUGGCGAAGGCGAAUCUCUGGACAGUUACUGACACUGAGGCACGAAGGCGAGGGGAGCAAACGGG
rnacentral:rRNA from 1 species